UACGUAGGGUGCAAGCGUUGUCCGGAAUUAUUGGGCGUAAAGAGCUCGUAGGCGGUUUGUCGCGUCUGCUGUGAAAACUCGGGGCUUAACCCCGGGCCUGCAGUGGGUACGGGCAGACUAGAGUGCGGUAGGGGAGACUGGAAUUCCUGGUGUAGCGGUGAAAUGCGCAGAUAUCAGGAGGAACACCGGUGGCGAAGGCGGUUCUCUGGGCAUUACCUGAUGCGUGAGGAGACGAAGUGGUGGGGAGCGAACAGG
rnacentral:rRNA from 1 species